UUUCCGUAGGUGAACCUGCGGAAGGAUCAUUAGUAGAACGGACGGCCCCGCUCCGGCGGGAACGGCCCAACCUCCUAAUCUCGCCCUGUGCACCGUGUCACCCUUUUUUCGCCCUCGUGCGAUCGAAAGUGAAGUCACGAAAUCGAAUACACUACGAGAAAGCAUAAAAUGAAGCAACGGAUCUCUUGGCUCUCGCAUCGAUGAAGAACGCAGC
rnacentral:misc_RNA from 1 species